rnacentral:rRNA from 1 species
UACGGAGGGUGCGAGCGUUGUCCGGAAUCACUGGGCGUAAAGGGCGCGUAGGCGGCCUGAUAAGUAGGGGGUGAAAUCUUGCGGCUUAACCGCAAGGCUGCCUUCUAAACUGUCAGGCUAGAGCACAGUAGAGGCAGGUGGAAUUCCCGGUGUAGCGGUGGAAUGCGUAGAGAUCGGGAGGAACACCUGUGGUGUAGACAGCUUACUGGACCACUUCUGACGCUGAGGAGCGAAAGCCAGGGGAGCAAACGGG